CGAACGCUGGCGGCGUGCUUAACACAUGCAAGUCGAACGGAACUCUUUGGAUCGAGACUUCGGGUGCUGAUCAGUGGCGGACGGGUGAGUAACGCGUGAGCAAUCUGCCCUAUACUCAGGGAUAACACAGGGAAACUUGUGCUAAUACCUGAUGACAUAUACGGAUCGCAUGUUCUGUAUAUCAAAGCUCCGGUGGUAUAGGAUGAGCUCGCGUAUGAUUAGAUAGUUGGCAGGGUAACGGCCUACCAAGUCUACGAUCAUUAGCCGAACUGAGAGGUUGAACGGCCACAUUGGAACUGAGACACGGUCCAGACUCCUACGGGAGGCAGCAGUGAGGAAUAUUGGUCAAUGGUCGGAAGACUGAACCAGCCAAGUAGCGUGAAGGAUGAAGGUUCUAUGGAUUGUAAACUUCUUUUAUACGGGAAUAAAACCACCUACGUGUAGGUGCUUGUAUGUACCGUAUGAAUAAGCAUCGGCUAACUCCGUG
rnacentral:rRNA from 1 species